UACUAAUACGACGUGAUUAGUUAACAGUGCUGGUUGUCGGUCACAGGCUAUUAUAGACUUCUAGUGAUGUGUACCUCUCUCGUUUUCGUGCUCAGAGCCUUGCACACUAAUUUGCAUAAGGUUAGUAGUGGAUGUAACAUCAUCUGCAUUAUUUUGUUGAAUCAAUGGUGACUCGAGUCUUUGUCCACUAUCUAAAGGUCUGGGACCUCAAAUUUAUUGUUCCUUCACUAUAAUUGUGGUUGGUGGAUUACGCUCUUAUCUCAUCUUUCUCUGCAUUACAGAUAGCUGAUAGUGUUUCGUUGGCCUAAUUUGUUCCGAUUAAAGGGUAUAUCUAGAAAAAUUACUUUGUAUUCAAUCCGAAGCAGACUACUGUUAAUUUGCUUAUCUCUCAGUAACAGAGUGCUGCAGAACGAGUGGGAAAACGAAGCAUUCUGUAAGAUCUGAUAUAUUUUUCGAUACGAAUGGUUAGAUGCAAGAAUGUUCAGAUGGUAAUAUCCUUUCAUGUCUUCUUUACCUUAUUGCUACCAAACAAACUGUUAUGUACUGUACUUCAUUCCUUUCAGUUUCCUAUCAAUGGAAGAUGGCCUAAUAAGUUGCAGUUUGAAGUACUUACGUAAUUCCUUGGUUCAUGAAAGGUCUGAGAUAAUUAGUUAUUGAGUUUGGUGUAGUAGUAAUCCUAACAACUGCAAAUUGUAUAGAACUGAAUAUGUAAUUUGGAAUUGCAGUGAAGGGAAGGAUUCUGAGUGAAUGACAUGUCUUUGUGUAACAGUUGGGCACAUAGGAGGAUUUAAUUAAGGGCUACGGUCCUAAGUGUAUACGCGUCUUAUUUAGUAAAGGGCACGGGGACAGGUCCUCCUGAAUUCUUUUUUAAUGUUUUAUCGUCAUUAAUUUUUUUUUCAAAAUAUGAAAGUGUCUUCAUAAAUUUUAGAAUAUAAGAGUAUAUUUUAAAAGUUUAUUUGACAUCUCACCAGAGAUUAAAUCCUAGAUCCGUCGUGGGUGGGC
rnacentral:lncRNA from 1 species